rnacentral:rRNA from 1 species
CCUACGGGGGGCAGCAGGCGCGAAAACUUUACAAUGCGGGAAACCGUGAUAAGGGAACUCCGAGUGUCCGUAAAUGCGGACUGUCCGUCUGUUUAAAAAGCAGGCGAAGAAAGGGCCGGGCAAGACCGGUGCCAGCCGCCGCGGUAAUACCGGCGGCUCGAGUGGUGGCCACUAUUACUGGGCUUAAAGCGUUCGUAGCUGGGUCGUUAAGUCUCUUGGGAAAUCUACCGGCUUAACCGAUAGGCGUCCAAGGGAUACUGGCGAUCUAGGGACCGGGAGAGGUGAGGGGUACUUCAGGGGUAGGAGUGAAAUCCUGUAAUCCUUGGGGGACCACCUGUGGCGAAGGCGCCUCACCAGAACGGCUCCGACAGUGAGGGACGAAAGCUGGGGGAGCAAACCGGAUUAGAUACCCAAGUAGUCC